rnacentral:rRNA from 1 species
UCGAACGAUGAAGCCCAGCUUGCUGGGUGGAUUAGUGGCGAACGGGUGAGUAACACGUGAGUAACCUGCCCUUAACUCUGGGAUAAGCCUGGGAAACUGGGUCUAAUACCGGAUAGGAGCGUCCACCGCAUGGUGGGUGUUGGAAAGAUUUAUCGGUUUUGGAUGGACUCGCGGCCUAUCAGCUUGUUGGUGAGGUAAUGGCUCACCAAGGCGACGACGGGUAGCCGGCCUGAGAGGGUGACCGGCCACACUGGGACUGAGACACGGCCCAGACUCCUACGGGAGGCAGCAGUGGGGAAUAUUGCACAAUGGGCGCAAGCCUGAUGCAGCGACGCCGCGUGAGGGAUGACGGCCUUCGGGUUGUAAACCUCUUUCAGUAGGGAAGAAGCGAAAGUGACGGUACCUGCAGAAGAAGCACCGGCUAACUACGUGCCAGCAGCCGCGGUAAUACGUAGGGUGCGAGCGUUAUCCGGAAUUAUUGGGCGUAAAGAGCUCGUAGGCGGUUUGUCGCGUCUGUCGUGAAAGUCCGGGGCUUAACCCCGGAUCUGCGGUGGGUACGGGCAGACUAGAGUGCAGUAGGGGAGACUGGAAUUCCUGGUGUAGCGGUGGAAUGCGCAGAUAUCAGGAGGAAC